rnacentral:rRNA from 1 species
UACAUAGGGUGCAAGCGUUAAUCGGAAUUACUGGGCGUAAAGCGUGCGUAGGCGGUUCUCUAAGUCGGGUGUGAAAUCCCCGGGCUCAACCUGGGAAUUGCAUUCGAUACUGGAUAGCUAGAGUUCGGCAGAGGGAAGCGGAAUUUCGGGUGUAGCGGUGAAAUGCGUAGAUAUCCGAAGGAACAUCAGUGGCGAAAGCGGCUUCCUGGACCAGAACUGACGAUCAGGCACGAAAGCGUGGGGAGCAAACAGG